GUGGUCUUGUAAAACAUCUAUUCUCUUCCUCCUCAUCCUCCUCGGCCUCCCACCAUGGGGCCUCUGGCUCUGGACUGUCGGCAACAGUUCCCAGGGGAGCAGGGGCCUUCAGCAACACCGGGUCACUGCUCGUUCGGGGCAAGGCAGAUAUGGGCAUGGUGGAGGCUUCUAGAGGUCAUACAAGAGGGGUCAAUGGGAAUACACAGGGAAGAUUGCUGAAUGGGCGGGGGUGAGAGCUUCAUCGGCUACCACCCACCUGAUCCAUCCACUCAUUCCAAUAAUGGGGUAUAACAACCUAUCCGGGUGCAGUUUUGAAUUUCAACCACCUCGACGGUAGAAAUGCUACAUGCUUACACAUGGUUAGAAAACUUUAGCAUCUCUAUAGUUCUGUAAAUUAUUUUUUUUUAAUUUUAUUUUAUUUUAUAGAGAUGGGAUCUCACUGUGUUGCCCAGGCUGGUCUGGAAUUCCUAGUCUCAAGCAAUCCUCCCUCCUCGGCCUCCCAAACUGCUGGGAUCACAGGCAUGAGCCACCUUGCCUGACCCUAUGAAUUCUGAAUACUACAUUUUAAAUUUGAAUUCUUUGUUUUUGCCCCUCUGACUGAAAGAUGGUAAGCAGUGACCCAACGAAAUUAAAAAUUUUUUUAAAAAAAGGAUGAGCGUGGUGGCCGACGCCUGUAAUCUCAGCAUUUUGGGAGGCCAAGGUGAGAGGAUUGCUUGAGGCUAGGGAUUCCAGACCAGCCUGGGCAACAUAACAAGAUCUUGUUUCUACAAAAAGUUAGAAAAUUAGCUGGGCAUGGUGGCAUGCACCUGUGGUCCCAGCUACUUGGGAGGCAGAGGUGGGAGGAUCACUUGAGCCAGAGGCUGCAGUGAGGUAUGACUGCACCACUGCACUCCAGCUUGGAUGACAGAGUAAGACCCUGUCUCAAAAAAAAAAAAAAGAUAUCUAUCUAUCUACAAUUAAGUGAUAUAUCUCUCUAUAUCAUAUCUAUAGAGAUAGAUAUAUAUUAUAUAAAUAUAUAAUAUAUAUUUAAAUUAAGUAUAUGUUAAAUAAAAUUAACAUUAUUAAAUGUAUAAUGUUGCCCUAUAUACUACAUAUAAUUACAUUUAUAUAUGAUAGAUAUUUUACUUUUUUUGUGAUAAUAUAUCUCUCCAUAGACAUAUCUAUAUAAAAUAUAUACAAUUAAUAUAGAUAUCUAUAGAGAGACAAAGUAUAAAAAAUUCACAAAGCUGCGUAUGGUAUGACACUCAGAUAAGUGUCAAAGAAACCAAGCUUAUUAAACUUUCUUUUCUUUUUUUUCUUUUUUAUUUCUUCUUAAAAAAAAAGAUACAUGUGCAGAAUGUGCAGGUUCAGUAUCUGUGUGCCAUGGUGGUUUGCUGCACCUACUGACCCCUCCUCUAAGUUCCCUCCCCUCAUCGUAAACUUUCAAAUGACGUCCUUUGUAAGUUGGUGGCAUGUUGAUCUCCUGGACUAUUAGUACUUAAAACUGUACUAAGACUUUUGGGAGACUGUAUUUACCAUGCCUUUGAAUAGGCUCUUUUCUAGGAACUUGAAAUCAUCCAACAGUGCCUGGCUCACUCUGAGUUAAGGUCCAAAGUGCUCACAGUAGCUGAAAAAUCCUCACAAUCUGAGCCCCAGGGUCUCUCUCUCUGACUCUCCCCUCAUUCCCUCUGCUUCAGCUACACUCGUGUGUCCCUCCUUCCCUCCCUCCCUUCGUUCCUUCCUUCCUUCCUUUCUUUUCUUUCUUGACGGAGUCUCACUCUGUCACCAGGCUACAGUGCAGUGGCGCCAUCUCGGCUUAUUGCAACCUCUGCCUCCCGGGUUCAAGUGAUUCUCCUGCUUCAGCCUCCCGAGUAGCUGGGACCACAGGCGCCACCACACCCAGCUAAUUUUUGUAUUUUUAGUAGACACGGGGUUUCACCAUGUUGGCCAGGAUGGUCUUGAUCUCUUGACCUCGUGAUCCGCCCGCUUUGGCCUCCCAAAGUGCUGGGAUUACAGGCUUGUAAUUUCUGGACUAUUAGUACUUAAAACUGUACUAAGACUUUUGGGAGACUGUAUUUACCAUGCCUUUGAAUAGGCUCAACCUGCACAUUCUGCACGUGUAUCUUUUUUUUUUUUUUUUUAAGAAGAAAUUGAGCCAUUGCACCCAGCCCUUUCUUUUCUUCUUCUUUUUUUUUUUUUUUUUAAAUUUGAGUCAGGGUCUCACUCUGUGGCCCAGGCUGGAGUGCAAUGGUGCGAUCACGGCUCACUGCAGCCUUGACUUUCUGGGUUCAAGGAGUCCUCCUGCUUCAACCUCCCAAGUGGCUAGGACCACAGGCGUGCAACACCACACCCAGCUACCCACUCAUUUUUUGGUUGAAUGAACAGCUUAAAUUCUUGUUCUGACCCAAGAGCCUUUGCACUGCCUCUUCCUCCUGCCUGCUUAUCCCCCAGUUAUCCACCUGUUCCCUCCCUCAUUUCCUUCAAUUUUAUUUUUUUCUGCAAUGGGGCCUUUCCUGACUACCACUUAAAAUUGCUUGCUUGGGUACAAUGGCUCACGCCUGUAAUCCCAGCACUUUGGGAGGUUGAGGUGGGUGGAUCACCUGAGGUCAGGAGUUCGAGACCAGCCUGACCAACAUGGGGAAACCCCAUCUCCACUAAAAAUACAAAAUUAGCAGGGCGUGGUGCACAUGCCUGUAAUCCCAGCUACUCGGGAGGCUGAGGCAGGAGAAUCACUUGAACCCAGGAGGUGGAGGUUGCAGUGAGCCGGUAUCACGCCAUUGCACUCCAUCCUGGGCAACAAGAGCAAAACUCUAUCUCAAAAAUAAAUAAAUAAAUAGAAAUAAAAUAAAAUUGCAAUAUACAUCUCCAUCUUUAUAGUCUCUAUCUCCCUUACUCUGUUUUUUUUGUUUUGUUUUGUUUUUGUUUUUUCGGUUUUUUUGAGACAGUCUCACUCUGUCCCAAGUAGCUUGGAUUACAGGCAUAUGCCACUACACCUGGCUAAUUUUUGUAUUUUAUUUUAUUUUAUUUUUUUUUAGUAGAGAUGGGUUUUCACCAUGUUGGCCAGGCUGGUCUCGAACUCCUGACCUCAAGUGAUCCGCCCACCUUGGCCUCCCAAAGUGCUAGGAUUACAGACCUGAGCCACCUCACCCUUCCCUUACUGUUUUUUGUUUGUUUGUUUGUUUUUUGAGACAGAGUCUCACUCUGUUGUCCAGGCUGGAGUGCAGUGGUGCAAUCUUGGCUCACGGCAACCUCUGCCUCCCGGGUUCAAGCAAUUCUCGUGCCUCAGCCUCCCGAGUCUCCCGAGUAGCUGGGAUUACAGGUGUGUACCACCACGCCCGGCUAAUUUUUGUAGUUUUAGUAGAGACGGGGUUUCGCCAUGUUGGCCAGGCUGGUCUCGAACUCCUGACUUUAGGUGAUCCGCCCGCCUUGGCCUUCCAAAGUGCUGGGAUUACAGGCCUGAGCCACUGUGCCUGGCCUUCCCUUCCUGUGUUUUAAUUUUCAUCUUGAAGCAAACAAAAUUGCCUUAUUUUUGUGGUUCAUGGUUUGUUGUCCUCUCGUGGACUGUUGGCUCCCAUCGGGCAGGGAUCUUUGUCUCUUUCUGGUUUGUUGAUGUAUCCUAGCACUCCGUGCAGGGCCUGGGAUGCAGGGACGGCUCAUGUUGAAUGGGGUUGGGAGAAGGAUGGGAAAAAAGGGGCAUGAGGGGGCAUUCAGGUGAGUCCUCCUUUAGGUAAGACCGUCAGACUCAACUGCUUUGAGGAACUUACCCUGGAUGGAGAGGAGCCACUCAGGAAAAAAUUAGGGGAAUGAGAAUGUUCCCGUCACUGGUGGAAAUGUAAAAUGCAAAGGCCCCGAGGCGGGAAUAAAAGCCUGAGGGUUCGAACAACUGCAAGGAGGGCUGUGUGACCAGCAUGAGGAGGGUACGUAGCAGAAGUUGUUAGCAAGGUAAGCUGUGGUCAGAACAGGUACAGCUCCUUGGAAUAAUUGUAAACACUUUUUUUUUUUUUUGAGAUGGAGUUUUGUUCUGUCACCCAGUCUGGAGUGCGGUAGCGCCAUCUCGGCUCACUGCAACCUCCACCUCCCAGGUUCAAGCGAUUCUCCUGCCGCAGCCUCCAGAGUAGCUGGGAUUACAGGUGCGUGCCACCACGCUCGGCUAAUUUUGUGUUUUUAGUGGAGAUGGGGUUUCACCAUGUUGGCAAGGCUGGUCUCGAAUUCCUGACCUCAAGUGAUCCACCGGCCUCGGCCUCCCAAAGUGCUGGGAUUACAGGCAUGAGCCACCGCGCUCAGCCUUGUAAACACACAUUUUAAGCACCCACAAAGUCCCUGCAUGUUUUAAGUCAUCGUGAUUGUCAUCAUUUUCUAAAGCAAGAAAUUGAGGCUCGAAGAGGUGCCUGCACCUGACCAAGAUCUCUUAGGUGGUGAGUGGCAGAGCCAAUCCCUGAGCCACAGGCCAUUCUAGCAGACACUUACCCAUCCCAGCGGGGUCUUCUCUUGACCGCCCCAUAUGUGCCAAAUCUGCAGGCUGACUGUUGCUCCACUUCCUUGCCCUGGGGGACAGAAGUGGGAGAAACCUGUAGUCCCCACCUAAGCAGUGUCCCCCACCAAUAUCUGCAAAACCCUGUGUCCAGUUACUCUGUACCAGUGAGUCUCAACCAAUCAAGGUGACCUACGUCCAGGGGACUCUUAGCAACGUGUGGAGACAUCUUUAGUUGUCACAACUAGUAGCAUCUAGUUGGAUGGAGCUCAGGAAUGCUGCUCAGCACCCUAUGAUGCACAGGACAUCUCCACCUCCUCCCCCACAACUAAGAAUGUUCGGGCCUCAAAAGUCAACCAAGGCCGGGUGCGGUGGCUCACACCUGUAAUCCCAGCACUAUGGGAGGCUGAGGCGGGCGGUCACGUGAGGUCAAAAGUUCAAGACCAGCCAGGCCAACAUGGUGAAACCCUGUCUCUACUAAAAAUACAAAAAAUUAGCCAGGCG
rnacentral:lncRNA from 1 species